CCAGACUCCUACGGGAGGCAGCAGUGGGGAAUAUUGCACAAUGGGGGAAACCCUGAUGCAGCGACGCCGCGUGAAGGAAGAAGUAUCUCGGUAUGUAAACUUCUAUCAGCAGGGAAGAAAACAGACGGUACCUGACUAAGAAGCCCCGGCUAACUACGUGCCAGCAGCCGCGGUAAUACGUAGGGGGCAAGCGUUAUCCGGAAUCAUUGGGCGUAAAGCGUUCGUAGGCGGUAUGUCAAGUCUGAUGUUAAAGCCCGGGGCUCAACUCUGGUUCGGCAUUGGAUACUGGCAAACUAGAAUGUGGUAGAGGUAAAGGGAAUUCCUGGUGUAGCGGUGAAAUGCGUAGAUAUCAGGAGGAACAUCGGUGGCGAAAGCGCUUUACUGGACCAUUAUUGACGCUGAGGAACGAAAGCCAGGGGAGCAAAUGGGAUUAGAUACCCCCGUAA
rnacentral:rRNA from 1 species